AUUUGAAGGGGGUAGUUUUCUUUGUCGUUGUUUAUAUGUUGUACCAGUUGCAGUGAAGAGCCGCUAAACUCAUAUUAUAUUAGAAAUGUUUUAAAAAGGGAUUUGAAAAGCAGAUUUUUUCCCGCAUGACUGUCUGUGAUGGGUGGGACAGAUGGGUGGAGGCUCUGAGAGGAUGCCCACCCACACCUGUUGGGCACAGAGGUGUUGAUCCAGUUGGUGAAAGAACAAAGGAUUAGGUCUCUACUUUAACAGAGAGAUUUCCUCUAUGCAUACAGAUGGCGUGUGUGUGUUUCUUCAGCGACUUCGUUGCAUUACCUAUUGAGUCAGCUCUCUUCUGAGUCAUCCGUUUCAAGGUUGCCUAGUGACAGCGGCAGUGAAAAUGUUUCCUAUUGCGCAUUCGCUGAUGCCUGGCACCAAUAUUUAUUCAAGCACUGCAGUAAGAGGGCAGGAGAAAAUAAUUCAUACAUUUUCAGAUGAUUGCAUGGAUGUUUGGCCAUCUGUAAAAAUAAAUAAAUAAAU